rnacentral:rRNA from 1 species
CGCGCAGGCGGUCGAUCAAGUCGAGUGUGAAAGCCCCCGGCUCAACUGGGGAGGGUCAUUCGAUACUGAUCGACUCGAAGGCAGGAGAGGGUAGUGGAAUUCCCGGUGUAGUGGUGAAAUGCGUAGAUAUCGGGAGGGACACCAGUGGCGAAGGCGACUACCUGGCCUGUUCUUGACGCUGAGGCGCGAAAGCUAGGGGAGCAAACG